rnacentral:lncRNA from 1 species
AAAUUGUUCUAAUUAGUCUACAAUCUUUAUCCAAUUCUAGCAACAAGCAAGAAUGUUCAGAGUUAUAAAUAUGGUUGAUAAAUGUAUAAUAUAUAAUGCUGCUUCUGCUAUUUCAGUUUGCAGAUUCCAAAAAUACCAUCUUUCUCAGGUGGAAGUUUGAGAUGUAUCUGGUCUCCAGAAUCCUUUUUGUGCACUUAAUAUUCCUUCUUGGUGUUUAGAGAAGGUUAGAUGAACAUCCCAGUGCAGUGACUUCAACAUAUUCUCUAUUUCUCUUAUCACAUUGGCUUCAUCACGAACAAUAAGUUUGCCUCCUGGUCUAACUAUUCUAUCCACUUCUGCCAUUACUGGAACAAGAUUGCACCUUCAAAAAAAUAAAAGAAUUUUUUUAAAAAAGUUUUACCAAAAGGUUGAAAAAGACUUGAGAUUUUACCUUGCUUUCAACUUGGAGAAGAGAUGAUCUGCAUGCAAGAGAUCAUAGCUUCGUGGGUAUGUGCUAAAAGAUUCACACCAGUCAUGAUAUAUUCCAAACAAGCCUCUCUCGUAGAUUAUAGGUAAUGUAUCUGGUGAGUUUAUGUUUACAACAUUCAUGACCCACACUUGCAAGUCUUUUAGAGCUGCUGCAAACCCUCCAUAGACAGCUCGCAUAUCCAUUACAUUCCUCACAUUAGACCAGCUGAUUCCCAUUUCUUUCAUGUAUACUUUGCUAACAACGUGCUUCCAGUGUUCAUAAUCUGUAGUGAAGUCUAGUGGAGCUGGCUUCCCAUAGAUUCCCAUUUGAGAGCUGUUUAGCCAAUAGGGAGGUGUUUGAAGCCUACGAGGCCAGCUCACGGGCCACUUGCUCCCUCUCUCAACCACAUUGGUCGGCACUUUAUGCAUGCAUGCUUGUAGCGGUACAUACCAGGCUGCAUUUGAAUCAUCGUUGUUUUUACACAUAGGAGGCUUCUUGUGCUUUCGUUUCUUAUAGCACUCAUUAGUAGUAGGUUUCUGGUAGAUGGCAGCACCAAUACCAUUGAGUUUAUCCUUGUUGAUCGUCACAAGUUCCCAGCACAUAGAUUUUGUCAGUGCGGACAUUUCUACAUAACUCAAAACAUGUCAGCGUCAGUGGUACAAACAAAACAAGGAGAACACUUUUAUCAUUCAAACCAUACCUUUCCAGAUUUGGACAUCUUCUUCAAGCUUCUGGUAAACUGGCGUUGCUGACCACACAAAGUAACCUCAACAAAACAUAACAAACCUAACAAUUUAUGAUUAAUCUGACUAAAGUAAAGUGCAAUAUCAAAAUAUAUUCAUUUGAAAGCCAUCAACUAAACAUGAAACCAACUAUGUUCCUCCUAGCCCAGUAAGUAUGGUUUAAAAUAAAUUGGAUUGUAUACAUUUUGGUCAUUGUGAUCUCUAAAUACUCACUAACAUCUUUUGUCAUAUUUUUAGUUAUAAUUAGUCCGAUUACCACAAUUUUUUGGCCAUAUAGUUUGAUAGGCCUCAUAAUCAAAGCAUGACUUUUGACUAGGAUAAUAUAUGCGUCUUGCGCAGGGUGAAUUUAUAUGAAAAUUAUUUAAGAAAUAUCGUAUGAAAAAAAUAAAAUUUAUAUUCUUGAUCAAAUUAAUAUUUGUAGCCCUUAAACAAUUUUUUUUUAAAAAAAAUUGUUAAUUACAUAAUUUGUUUACUGAUGAGCUGAUCCUAUUUUUAAAAAUAUUUUAGGUCAAAAUUUUAUUUAUCGCAUAAGAACCUAACGUUUAGGCCGAAAAAUCUAAGGCCUACUAUUUGGUACAAUGAAACUAUGCCAACUCGGUUUUAUAUUAUGAUUUAGCAAUUUAAAAGUUAAUUAUGGUUACGAGAAGUUUACGUUCAUGUGACAUUUCAAUCUAUCUUCAAUAUUUUUCUCAUUUUUGUGUCGUUUUUUUUCAUUUUAGUUAUUGCUCGAUAUAAAUAUUGAUUUUUGAGUUUAUUCUCAUUUCGUUAUUUUGUUUUGACCUCGGAUUUAGAAAAUGUUUAAGAUUUAAAAUUAUUAAAAAGAUACAUACUUAGGUUAAGAUUUGCGCCUUGUGCAGAAUAAAUAUUUUAUGUUUUUCUGCAUAUUAUGAAAUAAUAAAAUAAUAAUUAUACAUUAAAUAACUAAGAAAUCAGUUACUAUUAUGUCACAAAAGUUUAUGUGAGAGUUUUAACAGUUUUAGUAAUUUAUACUCGUUUUGAAAAAUUCAAAAUACAACAUAUACAAAAAAAAUCUAAAUUUUUAUUAUAUGAUUAAUGUAAUUGUGUAAUUUAUUUUAAUAAUAAAUAAUUAAAAAAAAUGAUAGAAAGUAUACAGAUUGUUAGGAAAUCUUUAUCAUUUAAAAUCAUUAAUUACCAUAUAUAUCUUAAUCACAUUAGGUAAUUCCGUAAGUUUUAUUUAAGGAAAUAAUAUAUAACGGUUGUGCGGGUUUUUUAAUUUAUAUACUAAAAUGUUUUAGUUUAUAUAACAAAAUUUACCAAUAACUUAACGUAAUUUAGUGUUAUAUUAUUACUAUAAAUUUUGUGUUUUUGUAACAAAAAUUAUUUUGAAAACUUUAUUAUGUAACAAUAUUACUUUACAUACUUUUUUAUUUUAAAUUUAUAUGAAAGCAAAUUAAAUUGGAUCUAUAUAGUAGAAAAUAUAUUUUUUUGAGAUACUGUAAAUUUUAAAGAAAAACUAUAAUACAUUGUACUUCAAAAUAUGUUUGUAGUAAAUAUCAUAUUUGAGAAAUACACUAAGUUGGAUAAAAUAUCUUCUUUUAAUUUGAAAUAGAAAUGAAUAUUUCUAACAAAAUCUUUGUAAAUUUUAUUUUUGAAAUUAAUCAGUUUAAAUUGUUAUUAUCAGUGAAUAUAUAAUUAUAAUACUUUAUAUAAUUUUAAAUUUUCAUAUAUAAAUCAAAACUAAAAUAAAUUUUAAUUUCUAAUUAUAGUUUAUGAUAACUAAAAUUAAAAUUAAUUACUUUUUGAUAAAAAUUUAAAUUUAUUCUGAAAAUAUUUUAAAAAGAUUUUUUAGAUUUUUUUUAAAAAAUAUUUAUUUAUUUUUCAAUUGAAAAUAUAAAUAUUAUAAUUUAUUCAUGUAAAAUUUGAUAAAAUUUUAAAGAAUGAUCCAAAUGAAAAAACCACGCAUGAAAAAUUCAUCACUACAGUAUAUAUAUAUUUAAAAUAUUAUAUAUUUAUCAAUACAUGUUUGUUAACACAACAUCUAUAUAAAUAUUGAUACAUGUAUAAUGUAUAACAUAAUUAAUAAUAAUAACACUUAUUAUGAAAAUACAAUAGUGUUAGGAUUUUAAUAUUUGAUUUGAUUUUAUUAUUUGCAUGGUGAAAUUCUAGCAUUAUUUUACUUGCAUAAUAAAUGUUAAUUGUUAUUAUUAUUAAUUAGAUCAUAUGCAUGUAUUAACUCUAGAAUAAUUAAAUGUUAUUAUUAUUAAGUAGAUUAUAAAUGGUUAUAUGCAACUAUAAUUAUGUAUUUAUGGAAUAAAUAUGUUUUCGAAAUGAUCCAUUAUUAAUAAUAUUUUGGUGGAAUAAAAAGAUAAUUAAAUAUCUUGUUAGGGUAUUGUUAUGAAAAUACAAAAAAAUAAUGUAAGCAACUUUCUAGGGAUGGUUCAUUUAAAAUAUCACACAUGAAAGAAGUCAUGACUUCUCUUUUAAUAGUAUAGAUAAUUUCAAUUUGAUAAAUGAAUGGUCCUUAAUGUAAAUACUAUAUAAUAUAACAUUCUCUACCAAUUUAAUUUUGUACUAACAAAAUUAGCAUUUUAAUUACGUGACAACUCAUCAGUGCACUUUUUUAAUUAGUACAAACUACAAGUUAUAACUUCUUAAAUGUUUCUCUAUUAAUAUAUAGGGGUAUUCCAAAUUUAGCUUACUUUUACUAUGAUGAUUUUGAUCCCCUGAAAUUUUUGAAUAUUGUUACUGAUUUCAUUCUUGAAAUUGAGCUAAAUCUUCUUAUGGUUAGAAAUUCAAAAUGGAAUAAAUCAUAUUUGUUCUUGUAAUCCAACAAAUCUUAUCAAAUGAAUAAGAAACAUUAAGAUUCGCAAACCAUCAUUUUUCAUUCAAGAUAGGAGGGAUUUAAUUGUUUGUUUUGUAAUGUGUAUUUAUAUCUUUAAAACAAUAUCCAAAUAUGAAUAUAAUAAUCAACCAUAUGAUAUUUUGUUAACUUCAAAUAUUUGUCUUCUUUCAUAUAGCAAUUUAAGUUCUAACAUGCAUAGAUCAUCAACUAUUACAGAUGAACCAUUGAAUUUUGAUAAAAGUUUAGGCUUUUAAGAGAAAAUUCCAAAUUUAAAAAGAUCUCAAUAUGAUAAAGACCUAUAAAAUAUACCAUGUGUAGAUACUCAUAAUAGUAUUUAUGUAAUCUAUGAUUUUCCUUUAUGAUGCAAGGUGAAUUCCACUAUACAGAUGAGUAAUUUGGCUAUGUUUGCAUUAUCUAUGGUCCUACGGAGGUCUUAGAGUGGACAUUACCUUGUAGGAUAGCACAUAUUUGGUUGAUCAGAGCAUUUUGAAACAAAUGUUAUAUGUAAAAUUUUGUUGAGUCAAAUUUUAUAUAUUUAGUUUUUUAAGUUAAAUGCCGCAUAUUAAAAAAUUCACCAAAUUGAUAAAAUUAGGUUUUACUUUUAUAUUUCCGUUGUUCUAAUAUAUUAUAUAUAACUUUUCAUACAAAACAAAUUUCAUUUAUUGGUUGUGCUUUCCUUUUCUAUAUGACAUAGGUGAAGAAAAAAAUUGUUCUAAUUAGUCUACAAUCUUUAUCCAAUUCUAGCAACAAGCAAGAAUGUUCAGAGUUAUAAAUAUGGUUGAUAAAUGUAUAAUAUAUAAUGCUGCUUCUGCUAUUUCAGUUUGCAGAUUCCAAAAAUACCAUCUUUCUCAGGUGGAAGUUUGAGAUGUAUCUGGUCUCCAGAAUCCUUUUUGUGCACUUAAUAUUCCUUCUUGGUGUUUAGAGAAGGUUAGAUGAACAUCCCAGUGCAGUGACUUCAACAUAUUCUCUAUUUCUCUUAUCACAUUGGCUUCAUCACGAACAAUAAGUUUGCCUCCUGGUCUAACUAUUCUAUCCACUUCUGCCAUUACUGGAACAAGAUUGCACC